rnacentral:tRNA from 1 species
GCAAUGGUGUUUCAGUGGUGGAAUUCUCUCCUUCCAUGCAGGAGACCUGGGUUUGAUUCCCAGCCAAUGCA